UACGUAGGGUGCGAGCGUUAAUCGGAAUUACUGGGCGUAAAGCGUGCGCAGGCGGUGAUGUAAGACAGGUGUGAAAUCCCCGGGCUUAACCUGGGAACUGCAUUUGUGACUGCAUCGCUGGAGUGCGGCAGAGGGGCGUGGAAUUCCGGGUGUAGUGGUGAAAUGCGUAGAGAUCCGGAGGAACCCCAGAGGCGAAGGCGGCGCCCUGGCUCGCAACUGACGCUCAGACACGACAGCAUGGGGAGCGAACGGG
rnacentral:rRNA from 1 species